rnacentral:rRNA from 1 species
CUUUUGAGUAUAAUUUAAGGUCUGACCUGCCCAAUGAUUUAAUUAAAUGGCCGCGGUNUCUUAACCGUGCAAAGGURGCAUAAUCAUUAGUUUUUUAAUUGAAAGCUUGUAUGAAAGGUUGAAUGAAAAAAUAGCUGUCUCUAUUUAAAUUUAUUAGAACUUUAUUUUUAAGUWAAAAAGCUUAAAUAUCUAUAGAAGACGAGAAGACCCUAUAGAGUUUUAUACUUUUAUUUAUAUAAGUNUUUAGAAUUUUAAUUUUAUAUAAAAAUAAUNUUUAAUUGGGGUGAUUAAAAAAUUUAAUAAACUUUUUUUAUUUAAAAACAUUWAWUUAUGAAUUUUUGAUCCUUUAUUUAAGAUUAAAAGAUAAAAUUACCUUAGGGAUAACAGCGUAAUUUUUUUUAAGAGUUCUAAUCGAAAAAAAAGAUUGCGACCNCGAUGUUGGAUUUAAAUUAAUUUUUGGUGUAGAAGCCAAA